UACGUAGGGUGCAAGCGUUAAUCGGAAUUACUGGGCGUAAAGCGUGCGCAGGCGGUUGUGCAAGACAGAUGUGAAAUCCCCGGGCUCAACCUGGGAACUGCAUUUGUGACUGCACGGCUGGAGUGCGGCAGAGGGGGAUGGGAUUCCGCGUGUAGCAGUGAAAUGCGUAGAUAUGCGGAGGAACACCGAUGGCGAAGGCAAUCCCCUGGGCCUGCACUGACGCUCAUGCACGAAAGCGUGGGGAGCAAACAGG
rnacentral:rRNA from 1 species